rnacentral:rRNA from 1 species
GAUGAACGCUAGCGGCAGGCUUAACACAUGCAAGUCGAGGGGUAUGGCAGCAAUGCCAGAGACCGGCGCACGGGUGCGUAACGCGUAUGCAAUCUGCCUUUCACAAAGGGAUAGCCCAGAGAAAUUUGGAUUAAUACCUUAUAGUAUAUUUAAGUGGCAUCACUUGAUUAUUAAAGUAACAACGGUGAAAGAUGAGCAUGCGUCCCAUUAGCAGUUGGUAAGGUAACGGCUUACCAAGGCAACGAUGGGUAGGGGUCCUGAGAGGGAGAUCCCCCACACUGGUACUGAGACACGGACCAGACUCCUACGGGAGGCAGCAGUGAGGAAUAUUGGACAAUGGGGGCAACCCUGAUCCAGCCAUGCCGCGUGCAGGAUGAAGCAUCUAUGGUGUGUAAACUGUCUUUUAA